UGCAAUGAAAGCGGGAAGGGAGCGCGCUGCGGGGCGGCGGCGGAGGGAGAAAGUGCAGGAGGGAGAAGCGGAGCCGCGGGGCCGCUAGAGCGCCGAGAGGGGACACAGGAACAAAACCUGCAAGACUCGCAGCGACGUCAGACGAGAGGGAAACGGAGCUGGAACCCACUUCCCUCUGGGCAGAGCCGGGCUGGGCCCUCCCGGCCCCUCCUUUGCCUCCUUUGCCUCCCGCAGCCCAGGGCUGGGAGCUGGGAGAGCCCCCGGGGGGAAGCACUCGCAGGAGCUCUAUUUAGAAAGGGCAAGCCCGUGCCAAACCUGACGAACUUUCCUUUACCCAGAAUUAUAACUGGAAGUCUAAAAAGCCACAGUGUUUGAAAACACGUGUUUACAUUAUAUAUGCCCCAAAGCAGAAUAAACAAAGGUUAGAUUUGUAAACUCUCCAUCUUAAUUAAAGCAGCACUGCUUAGGACAAACCCACAUAA